UGAUAUGUAUUUGUACGAGAUACGAACGUAUGAGACAAUAAUCUAAAAACAAAUAAACAAACCCAAGAAACGAAACGUCAAGUCAAAAGCGAAGCCAACCAAAAAUAAGAAUUUUCAUAAUCAAAAUAAAAUGGAAACCCACUGAAAGAAGAAAAAAAAAACACGAAACGAAUGAAAGGUAGGGACAACGAAGAUGAUAACACACAGGCAGCCAACAACAAAAGCCAAAGCCGAAUGGACAACACGAACACCACGACGACGAUGAUCGCACAAACCAAACCAUACCAACCCAACCAAAUGUCAUAGGAAAAGUGGCAGACAAAAAAGUACAGCAAACAGGGUCAAAACAAAAAAUCCACGAUGAAACAAACGUUGAGGGAGAGAGAACAAAAAAAGAAUACAAAUGUCAGAAUUGUGUGUGAGUGUGUCGCCGUGUGUGUGUGUGUGUGAAGUAUUGACGCAAGAGCCAAGAAAAACAGUGGAAAAUCUAUAGAAAGCGAGGCAGACGUUGAAAAUGCUGCUUGCGACGAUGUCCGUUUGCUUGGCAGCAGAGCAAGGCUGAGAGGCAUUUUAAUGUUCACAGUGGGGCAAAUGCAAAGAAUUUUUG
rnacentral:sRNA from 1 species